AGAAUUCUGAAGAUGUCAGUUCUGGAAUGUGGAAUGGAUAUGCUAAUCUAGGACCUCCUAACGCGGUGUGUAGACAUUGUUCAGCUAUCAUGUGGAAUGUGGAGCGUAAUAAUAAAUCUUAUAAAAACGCAGCUCCUGUUUUUUCACUUUGUUGUAAGAGUGGACAGGUUGUCCUUCCGCUUGAGCAGCCUCCACCCGAGCCACUGUCUUCUCCUUUAUCUGGUGGUCCGAAGUCCAAGCAUUUUCGUCAGAACAUCCAUGUAUAUAAUUGCAUGUUUGCGAUGUGUUCAAGCGGGGGUAAGGUAGACCACAAUAUAAACAGAGGCGGAGCACCUUUUUGUUUUAAAAUCAGGGGUCAGAAUAUGCACUUCAUUGGCAGCCUAUUACCCCCCGAUGGCGCCCCUCCAAAGUUCUGCCAGCUAUACAUAUAUGACACUGAAAACGAGGUGACCAACAGAAUCAAUGCAGUGGGGUCACCAGAUGAUAUUGAUCCAGAAAUUGUUGCUGCUCUUACAAGAAUGUUAGAUGAAAACAACAAAUUAGUAGCUUAUUUUCGCAGAGCACAACAGAGAUUCAAUAACAGUGAUCAGCCGGAGUUCAAGUUAAUUCUAAUAUCUUCUCAGACUGAGAAUGGUCGUCCAAAUAUCAUUGGACAUUCUAAUGAAGUUGCAGGAUUGAUAGUUAGUGCUGACGCAGAUACAUCUGGCUGUAGGGAUGUUGUCGUUGAAACAAGGCUACCUUAAACGAGUUUUUGAAACAGAUGCAUAUUUCAUGCAGCUACAAUUUCCUCUUCUAUUCCCCUUAGGUGAUGAUGGUUACCACACUGAGAUUCCUCUUAGAAACAACAAUAGGAGCAGGCCUCCCCCAAUGGAUCAUGAUGACAUUGAUAAUACAAGGAUAACCAGGGAGCGCGUUACAAUGAAGGAAUAUUAUUCAUCUAAGUUGAUGAUCCGACAUAACGAAGCUUUGACUCCACAUUUGGCCGGAAGGUUGUGGCAACAAUAUGUCAUAGAUGCAUUCACUGCUAUGGAACAGUAUAGGCUGGAUUGGAUUUCUAGCAACCACACUACUAUCAGAUCAGAUUUAUACACUUAUGUACGUGAUGCGGUUCGCAAAGGUGAUAAUGAUCCUUCGCACGUUGGCAAGUGUGUCAUCCUCCCUGCUUCGUUUACUGGCUGUAAGUGAUACAUGUCACAGUAUUUUAAAGAUUCCCUUGCACUUUGCCGGAGUAUCGGACACCCUUCGCUCUUUCUCACAAUGACGACAAAUACAAAGUGGCCUGAGAUUCAGGAGAUGAUGAAAAACCUGCCUGGUGUUGAUGUUGCGGAUACUCCUGAUGUUGUAGCACAUGUUUUCAAACUCAAACUUGACCAACUAAUGGACCUCAUUAAGAAGAAGCAUUUUUUUGGGAGGUGCAUUGGGAGUUAAGUACACCAGUUUAGCAAUUUUUCCAUAUCACUUUUUUACAUAGAUUGUAUACAUGUUCAAUUAUAAAGGCGGACAUAUGGUUCUUAUGUUUUUUUAAUAGUGGUGCAUGUCAUUGAAUUCCAGAAACGUGGGGUGCCACAUGCUCAUAUGCUGAUAUGGCUUCAUGACAAAGAUAGACCAAAGACUCAUGAGCAGAUAGAUCAAAUAUUAAGCGCAUAAAUCCAUGAUGAGAGCGAGGAUAGUAUUGGUUACUAUGCUGUGAGGAAUUACAUGAUUCAUGGUCCGUGUGGGAAAGACAAUACAUACUCAGCAUGCAUGGUUAAAGAUAAAUGUGGACGACAUUUUCCAAAGAAGUACAAUGGUCUGACAUGUUUUGAUGAUUCUGGAUUUCCCGUGUAUCAUCGUCGAAACACUGGAAGGACGGUUGAGAGAAAGAGGGUACUCCUUGAUAAUAGAUAUGUUGUGCCUUACAACAGGGAGUUGCUAAUUCAUUUUCAGUGCCACAUAAAUUUAGAGAUAUGUAACAAUUCAAGGUCUUUGGAGUACCUGUUCAAGUAUUGUUUAAAAGGCCAUGACAAUGCCACAAUGCUACUUAAAAAAACGACAAUUCAAUGGUACAUCAAACAAAUAAUGCCAAGGCAAAGAUAUUUGAUGAGGUCAAGCACUACCUCGAUGGAAGGAAUGUAUGUGCCUCUGAAGCUACAUGGAGAAUACUAGGUUUUGACGUUCAUUCUCGAUGGCCUUCAGUUGAUGGAUUACCUAUUCACUUACCAGAUAGCGAGCAUGUUAAUUUUAAGACGGGGGAGUCUCUGCGAUCUGUAUGUCAACGUGCUGGUUCUAAGAAAAGCAAGCUUGAGGCUUGGUUUAUCGCUAAUGAAAGGCUGCAUGAUGCUAGACAAUACACGUAUGCUGAAUUUCCAACACAUUUUACAUGGAUUGCAAAAGACUGUCGGUGGAAAGUAAGGGAACGGGGUGAGGUUGUUGGUAGAUUAUCCGCGGUCCAUGCUACUGCCGGCGAUCUUCUUUACCUGCGUAUGUUGUUGCUUCAAAAAAAGGCUGCAGAAAUUUUGCAGAUAUAAGAACUGUAGACGGAGUUGUGUAUGACAAUUUUAAAAAUGCAUGCGGUGCUCUUGGUCUUUUAUAGAACGACAAUCAAUGGCAUGAUGCUUUAACUGAAAAUGCUCAAACAUCAUUUCCCCAUCAGAUUCGAGAGAUGUUUGUAAACAUUUUGUCAUACAGUUCUGUUUCUGAUCCUCUUGAGCUUUGGAAUCGGCAUUGGAGAUGUAUGUCUGAUGACAUAUUACACAGGAGACGGCUUGCUAGCGGCAACACUGAUCUCCUACUGUCUGAGCAUGAUCUUCAGAAUUUUACCCUUGCAGGUUAGUUAGUGUUUACACAGUCUCAUUUUUAGUACAGUAUGCCCUUCAUUAUAAUUCACAUACAUGUCUUUACCUGUUCAUGGUGAUGUAUAUUGCCAAGCUGCCACUGCAGUGUCCAUGAUUAUCAUGUAUAUUUUGUAUUUUCUAGGACGCCGCUCUUUAUUUUAUCAGUUUUGUAUACUGUUUUACAUUAUCAUAGUCUGGCUACACGUUUGAGGGUCUCAGAUACAAUACAGGUGUUAUUAUGCCUAUGACACUGAAAACUGUU